rfam:Oryza nivara chromosome 11, whole genome shotgun sequence.
CUCCUCCGCAACUAUAAGUUUUCGCAUCUAAUUUUGAUUAUCCGUCUUAUUUGAUUUUUUUAAUUAGUAUUUUUAUUAUUAUGAGAUAUAAAACAUGAAUAGUACUUUACAUGUAAUUUAUGUUUUUAAUUUUUUUUUUAUUUUUUUAAAUAAAACGGACGAUCAGAGUUGUGCACGGAAAAUUAUGAAUGCACUUACA